AGUGAACGCUGGCGGUAGGCCUAACACAUGCAAGUCGAACGGCAGCACAGUAAGAGCUUGCUCUUACGGGUGGCGAGUGGCGGACGGGUGAGGAAUACAUCGGAAUCUACUUUUUCGUGGGGGAUAACGUAGGGAAACUUACGCUAAUACCGCAUACGACCUACGGGUGAAAGCAGGGGAUCUUCGGACCUUGCGCGAUUGAAUGAGCCGAUGUCGGAUUAGCUAGUUGGCGGGGUAAAGGCCCACCAAGGCGACGAUCCGUAGCUGGUCUGAGAGGAUAAUCAGCCACACUGGAACUGAGACACGGUCCAGACUCCUACGGGAGGCAGCAGUGGGGAAUAUUGGACAAUGGGCGCAAGCCUGAUCCAGCCAUACCGCGUGGGUGAAGAAGGCCUUCGGGUUGUAAAGCCCUUUUGUUGAGAAAGAAAAGCAGCAGGUUAAUACCCCGCUGUUCUGACGGUACCCAAAGAAUAAGCACCGGCUAACUUCGUG
rnacentral:rRNA from 1 species